rnacentral:rRNA from 1 species
AUAGCAUUAUACCGUGAAACUGCGAAUGGCUCAUUAAAUCAGUUAUCGUUUAUUUGAUAGUACCUUACUACUUGGAUAACCGUGGUAAUUCUAGAGCUAAUACAUGCUGAAAACCCCAACUUCGGGAGGGGUGUAUUUAUUAGAUAAAAAACCAACGCCCUUCGGGGCUUCUUGGUGAUUCAUGAUAACUUUGCGGAUCGCAUGGCCUUGCGCCGGCGACGGUUCAUUCAAAUUUCUGCCCUAUCAACUUUCGAUGGUAAGGUAUUGGCUUACCAUGGUUUCAACGGGUAACGGGGAAU